rnacentral:lncRNA from 1 species
AUCAUCAUCAGUGGCACAAGCAAGCAAAAAAUGCAAUGGCUCAUACCCCGUAACGCAGGGGCUACAAGCUCUCAGCAAAGUGAAGCCGAGCAGUGCAUACAUUCAUUGAAAUAAUCCAUACACCACACAGAAC